GACGAACGCUGGCGGCGGGCUUAACACAUGCAAGUCGAACGGAAAGGCCCUGCUUUUGUGGGGUGCUCGAGUGGCGAACGAGUGAGUAACAGGAGAGUAACCUGCUCUUGACUUUGGGAUAACUUCAGGAAACUGGGGCUAAUAUCGGAUAGGAGCCCCCGUUGCAUGGUGGGGGGUGGAAAGUCUCGGCCGUCGGGGAUGGAUUGGCGGCUUAUCAGCUAGUUGGUGGGGUAGUGGCUUACCAACGCAUUGACGGGUAGCCGGCUGGAGAGGGUGGCCGGCCACAAUAGGACUAAGGUACGGCGCAGAGUCGUACGGGGGACAACGGUGGGAAGUAUUACACAGUCAGCGGGAGCCUGAUAAGACGGCGCCGCGGUCGGAAAGACGGCCUUCUGGUAAUGAACCGCAUUCGGCUAUGACGAAGCGUGAGUGACGGUAAUGGAUGAAGAAGCACCGGCUAACUACGUG
rnacentral:rRNA from 1 species